rnacentral:rRNA from 1 species
GACGAACGCUGGCGGCGUGCCUAAUACAUGCAAGUCGAACGAACUCUGGUAUUGAUUGGUGCUUGCAUCAUGAUUUACAUUUGAGUGAGUGGCGAACUGGUGAGUAACACGUGGGAAACCUGCCCAGAAGCGGGGGAUAACACCUGGAAACAGAUGCUAAUACCGCAUAACAACUUGGACCGCAUGGUCCGAGCUUGAAAGAUGGCUUCGGCUAUCACUUUUGGAUGGUCCCGCGGCGUAUUAGCUAGAUGGUGGGGUAACGGCUCACCAUGGCAAUGAUACGUAGCCGACCUGAGAGGGUAAUCGGCCACAUUGGGACUGAGACACGGCCCAAACUCCUACGGGAGGCAGCAGUAGGGAAUCUUCCACAAUGGACGAAAGUCUGAUGGAGCAACGCCGCGUGAGUGAAGAAGGGUUUCGGCUCGUAAAACUCUGUUGUUAAAGAAGAACAUAUCUGAGAGUAACUGUUCAGGUAUUGACGGUAUUUAACCAGAAAGCCACGGCUAACUACGUGCCAGCAGCCGCGGUAAUACGUAGGUGGCAAGCGUUGUCCGGAUUUAUUGGGCGUAAAGCGAGCGCAGGUGGUUUUUUAAGUCUGAUGUGAAAGCCUUCGGCUCAACCGAAGAAGUGCAUCGGAAACUGGGAAACUUGAGUGCAGAAGAGGACAGUGGAACUCCAUGUGUAGCGGUGAAAUGCGUAGAUAUAUGGAAGAACACCAGUGGCGAAGGCGGCUGUCUGGUCUGUAACUGACGCUGAGGCUCGAAAGUAUGGGUAGCAAACAGGAUUAGAUACCCUGGUAGUCCAUACCGUAAACGAUGAAUGCUAAGUGUUGGAGGGUUUCCGCCCUUCAGUGCUGCAGCUAACGCAUUAAGCAUUCCGCCUGGGGAGUACGGCCGCAAGGCUGAAACUCAAAGGAAUUGACGGGGGCCCGCACAAGCGGUGGAGCAUGUGGUUUAAUUCGAAGCUACGCGAAGAACCUUACCAGGUCUUGACAUACUAUGCAAAUCUAAGAGAUUAGACGUUCCCUUCGGGGACAUGGAUACAGGUGGUGCAUGGUUGUCGUCAGCUCGUGUCGUGAGAUGUUGGGUUAAGUCCCGCAACGAGCGCAACCCUUAUUAUCAGUUGCCAGCAUUAAGUUGGGCACUCUGGUGAGACUGCCGGUGACAAACCGGAGGAAGGUGGGGAUGACGUCAAAUCAUCAUGCCCCUUAUGACCUGGGCUACACACGUGCUACAAUGGAUGGUACAACGAGUUGCGAACUCGCGAGAGUAAGCUAAUCUCUUAAAGCCAUUCUCAGUUCGGAUUGUAGGCUGCAACUCGCCUACAUGAAGUCGGAAUCGCUAGUAAUCGCGGAUCAGCAUGCCGCGGUGAAUACGUUCCCGGGCCUUGUACACACCGCCCGUCACACCAUGAGAGUUUGUAACACCCAAAGUCGGUGGGGUAACCUUUUAGGAACCAGCCGCCUAAGGUGGGACAGAUGAUUAGGGUGAAG